rnacentral:tRNA from 13 species
AGCCACCAGCGAGAUUCGAACUCGCGACCCCUGGUUUACGAGACCAGUGGCUCAACCUCUGAGCUAUGGUGGC